rnacentral:lncRNA from 1 species
ACGCAUUUCCCGGUACCCUCUCUACCUACUCAGUACUCAUCUCUUCCAUUUUCCUUCCGUCUCCAGACCUUCUUCUUCAUUAACACCGAAGGUUCUUCGUCUUUUUUCUCUCUCUGGAAUUGGAAUCCUUCAAAUUUUUUUCAUUCUCUAGAUCUCGUCUCCGUAAUCACCAGCUAAAAAAUGAUAUAUUGAUUCCUCCAACCCAUUACUCCAACCAUACUCCCAAUGGCACAUGAAUGAAAAUUUAAAUAAUUUUUAAGGGUAAAAUGGUCAUAAAAAUAUAGGUGGUUAUUUUUAACACAAAAGCAACCUUAGGUAGGUACUUUUGUCAAUAAUCCUAAAAUAAAUAUUAAAGAUUUUUGUAUUAUCUAUUGGUCCACGACUUUCCAACUCUUGAAAGUCUACUAUUUCACUAAAUGAUGAAUAAAUGUCAUUAAAAUCUAUUUACAAUUUAUUUAAUACUCAUCAAUAAUUCAAAAAUAGUAUAAUAUAAUAGUAGAUUAGUGGUAUACUACAAUUUAAUGUUGUUUUGCCAAAAUCAGGACCUGAUGUUGACUCUCAGUCUAUAAUUAGAUAAAUAAUUUUUAUUUGUGUAGAAAUAAUAAACGUGCUUGGCUAGUUGGCUACUUGGCUGUUAUGGCUUGUCUAUUAUGGCUUUAUGUGUAUAUAUAGAAAAAAGGAAAUCAGGAAUGAUGAUUAAAUAAUCAAUAUCUGUUCAAGCUCCAAGAACUCUCAACCCAAACUUCCAUAGACGCUAGGUUGGUGUUUGUUACCGAGUUGAUAGAACAUACUCAACAUUCAACAAUCACUCACCAGUCACCAAUGUUAUUUCGAUUCUCAAACACAAGGAUCAUAAUAAGCCGGCCGUUCUUUCUCCAUGUUUGAAUAUACCUGCUGGUUCAAGCAAAAAAUAUCAAGAUGGAGAUAAUUAACUAAUAAUAUAUAUAGAUAUUAAUGAAGUUUAAUGUUGCAGGAUGUAUCCAUAUUAUCAGAUAAUAUGGACAAAGAGGCCGUACGAAGACGAUGGUCAUACUUUGAACAAGUAUGGAUAAAAGAACAUACAAGCUUACACGGUACUGAAUAUUCAAGGAAACACUAUAAAUAUUCACAACAUAUCAAUCGAGGUUGCACAGUCACAAAGCGCUAGUGCAGAAAGAAAAUGACUACAAAGAUCCAUCCUUGUCUGUAGUCACUUAUAUCAGAAUUCGGAAACUACAUAUGCAGUCAGAACAUAAUGCGAGUCCAGACUUCAUAAAAGCUCUAUUUCAA